GGGAACCCGUUGUUAAGAUUUUGGCAGCUCAUCACUGAUAUUAUCUAUGAGGAAACCUUGCAAUAUCACAGAACUUGGAUUCCUAGAAUAUCUGUUCAAGUUAUGAAACAAUAUGCUGCAAAAGGUCACAUCUAGAGGUAUUUGUUAGAAAAUGCAUGAGCUGAGCUGCAGUAAACAGUUCAGAGUGUUCUGAGAAUAUAUUGCACUUUAAUAGCACUAAAGAAGCAAUCCAUGGAAGACACUCCCGCUGAGCUGCAUGAACCAAACAGUGUGGAAAUGCACUAUGGCUCAGGAAAAGUGACUCUGCCUUAUAGAAUCCAUGUACAUGUAUAAACACUUUCCUUUGGAGAUCAAUGAGCUUCUCCAUAAUUAUUCCACUGGAGGAAAGGCAAUUUGGCUUUCCAAACUCAGACAUUGGGAGAUCCGUUGAGACCAAGGCAAUCUGUGUGAAAACCCUGUACCUCCAUAGUGAUGGCUGGUAGUCAGGAGUGAUUAGACUGGAAACAGAAUGAAGGGAUAGUACUUCUAAACCUUGUCAGCACAAAAUGGGAUGCCACUCAGCACAUUUCACAGUUAUAAUAAUAUCUUCUUUCUACUUUCUUUCAAGUUUUGAUCAACAGAGUAUUAAUUAACAUUGAUAUGGAAUUUGCCAUUGUGCUUUCAGAGUUAACAACACUUCUGCAUGACUAGGUGUGGCUUAUGUUUGUUAGAACUAUUUUUUAAAGCUGUUUGCAGACUCAA